ensembl:lncRNA
UUUUUUUUUUUUUUUUUUUUUGUAUUUUUAGUGGAGACGGGGUUUCACUGUGUAAGCCAGGAUGGUCUCAAUCUCCUGACCUCCUGAUCCGCCCGCCUCGGCCUCCCAAAGUGCUGGGAUUACAGGCGUGAUCUACCAUGCCCCGUCAGCAAUCUUACAAUUUAACUAUUGAUUUUCUGCCAAAUUAGAUUAUAAGCUUCCUUAAUACAGAAACUGGGUUUGCAUAGCAGACAACAAAAUGCUUGUUGAUUGGCCAACAUCAUAUGUCCUGAGGAAUUUCAUAUACUUAACACUCAAGGGCUUAAAUUCUCAUAACACUUCUCAGAAUAGCUGAAGGAAUAUUGGUGUGAGUGUGCAGUGCUAUUCUAGAUGAUGUGGGACAAACAGAAAGAAAUGAUCUCCAGUCCACACUCUUGAGAAGUGCCCCCUGUACUAAAGGACACACAUGUCCAUAAGUAGCUCCUGGCCAUAUGUGAGGGAUGAGCAAAGUAUGGGGGGAAGCACAACGUACCCCAGCAGAGAGAUCUGGGAGGACCUUGUGCGUAAGAUGGCUUGUAAGCCAAGCCUUCAAAGAUGAGUAGGAUUUUGAUGGAUAGUCAAGAAGAGGAGUCCGAGGCCAAGGGAAUUUGACCAAAGGCAGAUGUUUCACCAAAUUUGACAAUGCAUUCCCUGGAGUAGUGUUGUCUCUGAGAAGCAGCUGCUUGUUUAGAGGCUGUGUGUCCCAGCUCCUUUCUGCAUCAGUACAGGGCACGUCACUAGCCCUUACCCAGGGGAUGUUAGUGGGAGUGAUGCGUGUCUUUCAAGGCAAGGCAGUUAAGAAACUGAUGGGCUUUCCAAUGUCACUUUCCCCAUCCACUAGGUGAAGAACAUUGCAAUUCCUUGAGAGAGGAGCCACAGGACAGAGGGAGUGUGUGUGUGUGUGUGUGCGUGUGUGUGUAUACACACACAUAUAUAUAUCGAGAGAGACAAAACACUUGUUUUGUCACAGUAGUCUCAAACUCCUAGGCUCAAGCAAUCUUCGCACCUCAGCCUCCCAAGUAGCUAGGACUAAAAGCACACACCACCAUGCCUAGCUAAUUUAUUUUAUUUAAUUUGUAGAGACAGGAGCCUUGCUAUGUUGCCCAGGCUGUUCUUGAACUCCUGGCCUUAAGCAAUCCUUCUGCCUCAAGCCUCCCAAAGCACUAGGAUUACAGGUGUGAGUCACCACACCCAGCCUUGAUAUAUUUUAUUUUACAUAAAAUUACAAUGUUUUAUAUAAAAUGUGUACUGACUGUAUUUGACUUGAAUAUUAUUACUGUCAAUUAUUCAAACUUGAAUUAAGUCCAACUGCCUGAUCAGUGAUACAUUAAAAUAUCAUAAUAUUUACUUAUCCAGCAAUCUCAACUCUUUUAGUCCCUUCAGGCUGUUAUAACAAAAUACCAUAAACUGGGUGGCUUGUAAACAACAGAAAUUUAUUUCUCACUGUUCUGGAGACCGGGAAGUCCAAGAUCAAGGUGCCAGCAGAUUUAGCAUCUGGUGCCUGGUAAGGGUCUGCUUUCUGGUUCAUAGAGUCCGUCUUUUCACUGUAUCCCCACAUAGGGGAAGGAGUCAGCUCUACCGGGCCUCUUCUAUAAGGGUAUUAAUCUUUUCCCCGAGGGUUUCACUCUCAUGACCUGAUGACUACCCAAAGACCCCACCUCUUAUCAUUGUAUUGGGGGUUAGGACUCAGCAUAGGAGCUUCUAGGAAACAAACAUUCAGUCCACUGUAUCGACUACCUAAUACAGAAUGGAAAACGUAUCAUAAGCAAACAGGGC